rnacentral:lncRNA from 1 species
CAUUAAGGAUAGAUUGCUUUCUAAAUCAUGUAAAGGACUUAAACCAAUACAAGGUCAUUUCUCAUUUUCCUUUUGGCAUGGCAAGUUGUUGGAACUUGGUUCACUAAUCAAGAUUUCUAACUUGUGUUGUUGCCUACAUUAUUAUUGACCGACCUCAGAUAGUUGUGACUUCUACAUAAGUUCAAUUACGAUUGCUUAACAUAGCGCUAAAUUUACCUUAUGGCACACUAACCACUAACAUUA